GUGCAUUCCGUUAAUGUAGACGGUGUGAAAACGGAAACAACAAGUAUGCCGGCUCACUGUGCUGCAUACAGUUACACACUGCGUCGUACGAUUGAGACAAGGAAACCCGGAAUGACUUUUCAUAGGUUUCCCAGAGACUAUGGGUUGAGGAGGAAGUGGAAGUUUGUCGGCUUAGACCUGGUGUCAUUCCAUCAGUGUUAAACUUCCCGGCUCAUCUUGGAAGAGUACGUGCCAGAAAGACCACGACCAAGCAGCCUUGAGAUCUUAGACAGCGUCUCCCUCAGGUCCCUCUCUAUCUCCCCACACAUCCACCAACCACUGGAACACAUCUCCAAAGUUCUGCCGGGCCAGCUCAGCUUCCCCUCAGAAGAAGUGCCGCCACCUGCCAGAUGAAGGAGCCUUUUGAGAGGCAGCUGGCAUCGUGAUUGGACUGUACUUUGGUCUGUUCCAAUCCAGCUUCAGCUCCAGAGACGGCAGGCGGGACGAGUCAACGGAGGCCAGGUGGACGAAGGCAUGCAGUUGAGUACAAUCCAGAAAACAACAGAGGAGGAGUGCAGCGGCCCAGGGCCAGAACAGAACCAAAGAACUACAGACUCUUCACAACCUGCUCAAACUCUUGGUACAGGACCUCACCACACGGGUCAAGAAGGU
ensembl:lncRNA